GGAGUGCAGGCACAUCUGGGGUCUGUGCUCGCUGAAGGUGAGCACCAGUUGCAGGUGGCGGGCCGGUUCGAGUUCGGGAUCUUCG
rnacentral:tRNA from 1 species